rnacentral:rRNA from 1 species
GAUGAACGCUGGCGGCGUGCCUAAUACAUGCAAGUCGAGCGAACGGACGAGAAGCUUGCUUCUCUGAUGUUAGCGGCGGACGGGUGAGUAACACGUGGAUAACCUACCUAUAAGACUGGGAUAACUUCGGGAAACCGGAGCUAAUACCGGAUGAUAUUUUGAACCGCAUGGUUCAAAAGUGAAAGACGGUCUUGCUGUCACUUAUAGAUGGAUCCGCGCUGCAUUAGCUAGUUGGUAAGGUAACGGCUUACCAAGGCAACGAUGCAUAGCCGACCUGAGAGGGUGAUCGGCCACACUGGAACUGAGACACGCUCCAGACUCCUACGGGAGGCAGCAGUAGGGAAUCUUCCGCAAUGGGCGAAAGCCUGACGGAGCAACGCCGCGUGAGUGAUGAAGGUCUUCGGAUCGUAAAACUCUGUUAUUAGGGAAGAACAUAUGUGUAAGUAACUGUGCACAUCUUGACGGUACCUAAUCAGAAAGCCACGGCUAACUACGUG